rnacentral:rRNA from 1 species
UACGGGGGGUGCGAGCGUUGUCCGGAAUCACUGGGCGUAAAGGGCGCGUAGGUGGCGUGAUAAGUGUGUGGUGAAAGCCCGGGGCUCAACCCCGGAAUUGCCUUUAAGACUGCAUCGCUUGAAUCCGGGAGAGGUGAGUGGAAUUCCGAGUGUAGAGGUGAAAUUCGUAGAUAUUCGGAAGAACACCAGUGGCGAAGGCGGCUCACUGGACCGGUAUUGACGCUGAGGUGCGAAAGCGUGGGGAGCAAACAGG